rnacentral:snRNA from 1 species
GUACUUGCUUUGGCAGCACAUAAACUAAAAUUGGAAUGAUACAGGGAAGAUUAGUAUGGCCUCUAUGCAAGGAUGACACACAAAUUCAUAAAGAAUUCCAUACCAAA